rnacentral:rRNA from 1 species
CUACGGGGUGCACCAGUGAGGAAUAUUGCACAAUGGGGGGAACCCUGAUGCAGCAACGCCGCGUGGAGGAUGACGCAUUUCGGUGUGUAAACUCCUUUUAUAUGUCAAGAAAAUGACGGUAGCAUAUGAAUAAGCACCGGCUAACUCCGUGCCAGCAGCCGCGGUAAUACGGGAGGGUGCAAGCGUUACUCGGAAUCACUGGGCGUAAAGGACGCGUAGGCGGGCUUGUAAGUCAGGUGUGAAAUCCUACAGCUUAACUGUAGAACUGCGCUUGAAACUACGAGCCUAGAGUAUGGGAGGGGCAGAUGGAAUUAGUGGUGUAGGGGUAAAAUCCGUAGAUAUCACUAGGAAUACCUAAAGCGAAGGCGAUCUGCUGGAACAUAACUGACGCUAAGGCGUGAAAGCGUGGGGAGCAAACAGGAUUAGAUACCCUAGUAGUC